GUCAGCAUGGCGGAGUGGUUAUCGCGUUAGACUUGAAUUUUAAACUUGGAAUCUAAUUCCUUAGGGAGCGCAGGUUCGAACCCUGCUGCUGACG
rnacentral:tRNA from 1 species